ACCUUCGUGGUGUAGUGGUAAGCACACUCGGCGCGUAUUCGAGAGGUCCAUGGUUCGAGUCCCAGCGAGGGCA
rnacentral:tRNA from 1 species